AAAAAAUUAGACGCUUUCAACUGAAUAAAAAAUGUGUCACACAAGUUCAGGUAUAACUACUGCAGGACUUCAGAAAUCUGAACAAACAAUGCUCAAACCAAUAGCUAAUGUACGUCUGAUGUCAAGUUUCUCUAUAUGGUUCGCAGUCCAACUGCUGUAUCCGGCUGGGCUGCUCAUGUGACGAGCUCCUCUUCCAGGUCCGGCAGCCCCCUGUACUUCCUCAAUCUUUCAAAGUUUGAUCCUUUUUUGCAGCAUGCUGAAAAACAGGAUCCAACAUUUAUGAAAAAGAGAUGAAUUUAGAGGAAGAUGCAGCACUGGAACGCAGAAGACUCAGUUCACAAAAAAAUGAAAAAUGGCAGGAACAGGCAGCAGUUUUCAAAAAUGAAGAUGGAGAUGUGAGCAUGUAUACAUAUGUUCUAGAGACACUAGACUUAUCUGGUGGUGUGUGCGUGCUGCUGUAUCCUCUUCCGGCCACUCUAAUCUACACCCUCAGUACAAGCCGAUGCAUCACCAAGUUCUACAGGGGUGCGGGGUUCAGUUCGACGAUGACGAGCCAGGCAGCCGGCCUUUGCAUCGUGAACUGGCGCAGUUUGAUCUUGUAAGAAAUGGAAAUUCCCUGAUGUUGAGUGUGUCAGUACAUUUGCUUGGCUGCUUUGCUACUCUAGUUAGUAACAUAUCACUUGCUAAAUCAAAAAUAUUUUGUUGUUCACUUUCCUGUGUUUUGUUGGAUAAUUCUCAGGCUUUCUUUCUCUGAGAGGUACAAAAAUCAUAGUGCUUAAUAUACCGAUGUGUGUGUUAUACUUGAAUUAAAUAAAGUUAGAGGAGAAAGUACCCCUAUUCCAUUACUUUGAGAAGUACAAGUACAUCUUUCUGAUAGUACAGUGCAGGCCCGGUGCUGGCCCUGCACAAAUGGCGUCUUUAGCUCACCACGCUACCUCCCUCCCGCCGGUGGCUCUCCGUCCCUAUUCAAAUUUUUCCAGUGCGUCUUUAUAUUUUGUUCAGGUCAACUACUUGCUGGUCAUAAGUCCAAUUUCAUCUGUGUUUCCAUGUUCUUCCUAUAGCAUAAGUUGAUUGGCAUUACUGUGACACUGAUCAAGCCAACUGCGUGUAUUUAGUGAUUAAGGUCAUUUGUAAAGAACUUUUACACUUGCUGUGAUGCCUUACAAUUAAGACAUUUUUUAUAUAAACAUUGUUGCAACAUGAAUGUCAAGGAAAAGCAUGUGAAAAUGCCCUCUAUAGGAGAAAGGCUUCUACAGAAAAUACUGUUGCAACAUUUUAGGCAUGCGAUUACAAUUUUUUGGCAAUUUAUUCUAAUUGGUGCGUUCAGAUUAGUAAUAUAUAGAGAAAUUGUGUUGGUAGUACCACCAAUCCACCGUUUGUCUAAUUAAACAGAAAUACACAACGGAAAGCAAAAUGUUUUAACUAGUUCAACCCUGUAGGUAAUUACAUUGUAUAGAGGUUGCGCCAAUUACACUGUAUAGAGGCUACAUCAGUUCAGUAUGAAAAAGGAACACAAUAAGUUAACUUUGCAAGUACAUCAGUUCACCUUGAUUAAAAUACAGAAGUGCGCCGGCUAGAUUUCGAUCAGUUUGCUUAUAAAAAAAUAGAAAGUUGGUACUGUAAAGAAAACCGGAGAACCAAUGUCAGCCUAGGUAACUCCACACACACACACAUGUCACUGUCAUACCCUGCAUAAUGGAAAUGGAUGCAGAGCAGGAGUGAAACAUGGAAGGGGAAUUGUUGCAGGGGCAAGUGUUGUGGGCAUUAGCUGCUAUGGUGCAUCUUAUCCAGUUAUUGCUUGGUCUACAUGCGGCCAUUGCGAGGUUCAGCUUGGUUGACAAAAGUAAGACCAAAUCUGGGUGUGUGUGUUUGUGUGUGUGUGCAAGUGCAACCGUGACUUGCAUAUGGUGUACAGACAAAGUUAUUUUGGUUUUCAGACCCAGAAAAUGUUCAAAAAGAGUAUAUAGCCUGGGAAGUGGGAAGUACAAGAGGCAAAAGUUACCGAGUUCAAAAAAACAAAAAAUUUUCAGAAGUACAAGGGAAAAGAUGGAGAGGUUGGACUACUCACGACUGUUGUUGUGGAGCCGUGGCGCAUCGACGAGCUCCUGCAGAGCCACGAGCUGCGGAACCGACGAGCCGGCUGCCUGUCAUAGUUCCACAAAGGUUAAAAAUAGUUGCUAAUUAAUUCCACAAAGGAUUUGUAUGAUCCAUAGCCAUCAGGCGAGCAGUUUAAGGCCUACUGCGUGAACCGUCCACGUCUUCUAUGCAUGAGCUUGUUGUCUCGACGCAUCUAGCAUCGGAGUAUCUCCUCCCCCUUGCCGCACACACAUGUCGGGCAGUCGAGCUAGUGUUGUUUGUGAUUGCUGUCAUUGGACAAAGGAUUUGUUCUAUAACUCUGUACUGACGGGACCUUCAGCAUAUAUGGGGUUUAGAAUUUGUUUGUAACUUUGUACUAUCGGGACCUUCAGCAUAUAUGGUGUUUCCAGUAUUCUGAUCUGUAGGCCAAAAAUGGUGAACAUUUAAACAUCAGUUUGAUUUAAUAAAACUGAGAAGUUCUACUUUUGGUAAA